rnacentral:rRNA from 1 species
AGCGAACGCUGGCGGCAGGCUUAACACAUGCAAGUCGAGCGAGCGGCAGACGGGUGAGUAACGCGUGGGAACGUACCUUUUGGUUCGGAACAACAAAGGGAAACUUGUGCUAAUACCGGAUACCGAAAGAUUGGCCCGCGUCUGGUUAACUAGUUGGUAGGGUAAUGGCCUACCAAGGUGACGGUCUGUAGCUGGUCUGAGAGGAUGACCAGCCACACUGGAACUGAGACACGGUCCAGCAUCCUCCGGGAGGCAGAAGUGGUGAAUAUUGAACAAUGGGCGCAAGCCUGAUACAGCCAUGCCGCGUGUAUGAAGAAGGCCUUCGGGUUGUAAAGUACUUUCAGCGGGGAGGCGUUACCCGCAGAAGAGGCACCGGCUAACUCCGUGCCAGCAGCCGCGGUAAUUC